GACGAACGCUGGCGGCGUGCUUAACACAUGCAAGUCGAACGGACAGGCCCUGCUUUUGCGGGGUGCUCGAGUGGCGAACGGGUGAGUAACACGUGAGUAACCUGCCCCUGACUUUGGGAUAACUUCAGGAAACUCGGGCUAAUACCGGGUAGGAGCUCCUGCUGCACGGGGGGCGUUGGAAAGAGUCGGCGGUUGGGGCUGGUCUCGCUGCUUAUCAGCUGGUUGGUGGGGUAGUGGCUUACCAAGGCUUUGACGGGUAGCCGGCCUGAGAGGGUGACCGGCCACAUUGGGACUGAGAUACGGCCCAGACUCCUACGGGAGGCAGCAGUGGGGAAUAUUGCACAAUGGGCGGAAGCCUGAUGCAGCAACGCCGCGUGCGGGAUGACGGCCUUCGGGUUGUAAACCGCUUUCGCCUGUGACGAAGCGUGAGUGACGGUAAUGGGUAAAGAAGCACCGGCUAACUACGUG
rnacentral:rRNA from 1 species